UUUUCGAAGGCGCUAUCGCGAACUUUUGCAUGACAAAGGUAAAAAGCACCGUCAAAGUGUGGUCAAAGUGAGUGACAUCGACAUGUGCCACUGGACAAAAUCCAGAUACCAAUCCAAUGGACCGAUAGAGCGUGCGGAUGGGCGAACGUCAAUGUGCAUCAUCAAAAACAAAGCAUAGUGCUGGCGCUUAUUAUGAUGUCAUCUCCUGUGAUGCAAACUGUUAUGAAAAUACCGGAGCAAAACCGAACGAGGUCCCCAUUUUCCCUGGAUUCACAUCAUGCCACAGCAGAGGAGACCAAUGAAAAACAGUUCUUCAGGGCUGUUUCUGCAAAAGACAGUGCUAAAGGAGGCUGGAGACCUUUUGGAUGCAUCAUUACUUUUUUAGGUUAACUAUUGCAGGUACAUAACCAUAACCAAUCAAUGACAGUUUUUGUGCAUUGUAUAAGCACAGAUAUUCUGGAGAUCAUUGCUUAAAAAAUCUCUGUUGUGGACUCAUUUGUCACAACAACUUUGUAUUUGUGAGAUUUUUGUUUAUAUUCAGACAAUAAAGGCUAUUACGUAGUU